UACGUAGGGGGCGAGCGUUGUCCGGAAUCAUUGGGCGUAAAGCGCGUGUAGGCGGCUUGGUAAGUCCGGUGUGAAACCUUGGGGCUCAACCCCAAGCCUGCACUGGAUACUGCCUCGCUUGAGUCCGGGAGGGGAGAGCGGAAUCCUAGUGUAGCGGUGAAAUGCGCAGAUAUUAGGAAGAACACCGGUGGCGAAGGCGGCUCUCUGGAACGGUACUGACGCUGAGACGCGAAAGCGUGGGGAGCGAACAGG
rnacentral:rRNA from 1 species